AUUACGUUGCGCGCACACAACGACAUCUAAAAAUAAAUGUUUUCAAAGGGCAAGUCUGGUGCCAGCAGCCGCGGUAAUUCCACCUCCAAUAGCGUAUACUAAAAUUGUUGCGGUUAAAAAGCUCGUAGUUGCAUUAGUGCGCCGCGCUGUCGGUGCAUCGCAUCCGCGGUGAUACUGACACGUCUGCGGAGCAUAUCGUCGGUGAGCCGGCGGUAAAACGCCGGUUCAAUAUCAAAAUCCUAUCGCGGUGCUCUUCAGUGAGUGUCGAGAUGGGCCGACAAUUUUACUUUGAACAAAUUAGAGUGCUCAAAGCGAGCUCAAAAUGCCGCUUGAAUAUUUCGUGCAUGGAAUAAUAGAAUAUGAUCUCGGUUCUAUUUUGUUGGUUUUCAGAACUCCGAGGUAAUGAUUAAUAGGGAUAACUGGGGGCAUUCGUAUUGCGACGUUAGAGGUGAAAUUCUUGGAUCGUCGCAAGACGAACAUCAGCGAAAGCAUUUGCCAAAGAUGUUUUCAUCAAUCAAGAACGAAAGUUAGAGGUUCGAAGGCGAUUAGAUACCGCCCUAGUUCUAACCGUAAAUAUGUCAUCUAGCGAUCCGCCGACGUUACUACAAUGGCUCGGCGGGCAGCUUCCAGGAAACCAAAAAUUUUGGACUCCGGGGGGAGUAUGGUUGCAAAGCUGAAACUUAAAGGAAUUGACGGAAGGGCACCACCAGGAGUGGAGCCUGCGGCUUAAUUUGACUCAACACGGGAAAUCUCACCAGGCCCGGACACCGGAAGGAUUGACAGAUUAACAGCUCUUUCUUGAUUCGGUGGGUGGUGGUGCAUGGCCGUUCUUAGUUGGUGGAGCGAUUUGUCUGGUUAAUUCCGGUAACGAACGAGACUCUAGCCUGCUAAAUAGGCGUCGUCAUUUAGGUGUGCGCGGCUUCAGGGUCGCGCAACUCACUGGCGGCGUAUUAAAAUUCUUCUUAGAGGGACCGGCGGCUUCGAGCCGCACGAGAUUGAGCAAUAACAGGUCUGUGAUACCCUUAGAUGUCCUGGGCCGCACGCGCGCUACACUGAAGGAAUCAACAUGUUCUCCCUGGCCUAGAGGCCCGGGCAACCCGUUGAAACUACUUCGUGCUGGGGAUUGGGGUUUGCAAUUAUCCACCAUAAACGAGGAAUUCCUAGUAAGCGCGAGUCAUAAGCUCGCGUUGAUUACGUCAAGUUUUCUUUAGUGUUAUUUCCGCCAAUAUUUGUUUUUAAACAAUUCGACACGUGGCAUCCUCAGGACGUGUUGUCUCGCCAAAAUCUGGC
rnacentral:rRNA from 1 species